rnacentral:tRNA from 1 species
GUUAUUUUGGCAGAUUAGUGCGAUUGAUUUAGGAUCUUUAUAUGUAUUGUUACAAAUAACA